GCGCCUGAAGUCAAGUAAGAUGACCCGCUGAAC
rnacentral:rRNA from 1 species